rnacentral:rRNA from 1 species
CAGUAGCCGCGGUAAUACGGAGGGGGCUAGCGUUGUUCGGAAUUACUGGGCGUAAAGCGCACGUAGGCGGCUUGGUAAGUUAGAGGUGAAAGCCCGGAGCUCAACUCCGGAAUUGCCUUUAAGACUGCCGAGCUAGUAGGUGAGAGAGGUAAGUGGAAUUCCGAGUGUAGAGGUGAAAUUCGUAGAUAUUCGGAAGAACACCAGUGGCGAAGGCGGCUUACUGGCUCAUUCUAGACGCUGAGGUGCGAAAGCGUGGGGAGCAAACAGGAUUAGAUACCCCUGUAGUCCCUGUCUCUUAUAC